GAUAAAAGCUACCCCGGGGAUAACAGGCUUAUCUCCCCCAAGAGUCCACAUCGACGGGGAGGUUUGGCACCUCGAUGUCGGCUCAUCGCAUCCUGGGGCUGUAGUCGGUCCCAAGGGUUGGGCUGUGCGCCCAUUAAAGCGGUACGCGAGCUGGGUUCAGAACGUCGUGAGACAGUUCGGUCCCUAUCCGUCGCGGGCGCAGGAAAUUUGAGAGGAGCUGUCCUUAGUACGAGAGGACCGGGAUGGACGCACCGCUGGUGUACCAGUUGUCUUGCCAAAGGCAUAGCUGGGUAGCUACGUGCGGAC
rnacentral:rRNA from 1 species